AACGAACGCUGGCGGCAUGCCUAACACAUGCAAGUCGAACGAGACCUUCGGGUCUAGUGGCGCACGGGUGCGUCACGCGUGGGAACCUGCCCUUCGGUUCGGAAUAACUCACCGAAAGGGGUGCUAAUACCGGAUAAUGUCUUCGGACCAAAGAUUUAUCGCCUUUGGAUGGGCACGCGUUGGAUUAGCUAGUUGGUAGGGUAAAAGCCUACCAAGGCGACGAUCCAUAGCUGGUCUGAGAGGAUGAUCAGCCACACUGGGACUGAGACACGGCCCAGACUCCUACGGGAGGCAGCAGUGGGGAAUAUUGGACAAUGGGCGAAAGACUGAUCCAGCAAUGCCGCGUGAGUGAUGAAGGCCUUAGGGUUGUAAAGCUCUUUUACCCGGGAUGAUAAUGACAGUACCGGGAGAAUAAGCUCCGGCUAACUCCGUG
rnacentral:rRNA from 1 species